AAAGAAAUAAGUUGCACAAAGAAAGAUUAAGUUGAACUGCUAUGUUUAAAGUGAAAACUCAACAGGGGGAUUUUUCAAUGAAACAUGUGCAAAGAGUAAGUUUUUUUUUAAAGCGGAUAUGCGACUAUCGAGAAUAUGAAAAAUGUGCAAGGUGACUUUUCAGAAGUCGUUAUGCAAAUUUAUAACUAUAGUUAUUGGAAAAUUGUGCAACUUACAACUCAAAUCACCAACGCACAAGUUGUGUAGAUAUUUAAAAUUGCUGUUCGUGCUGGGCUACUUCUUAGAAUUAAGAGGUUAUAGGUUAAAUUCAAGUUUAGCGUUUGAACAGCCCGAAGCAAGUUUUCAAUCUAAUUAUUUUGAAAUGGAGCGGUAUUUGGGAUUAUCGAUCGUGAGUAACUUCCUGAAAUUAUUGAGGAUCAGAGAGAAUUAGCAGCCUAAUUGAUCAAUGGUGUGAAUCUGAAUUUAUGAGAAGGAAUUAAACUAAGAAAGAUUCAUCAGAAACGCUAUGAAGCCAUUGUGAGGAGGCAUUGGACGUCGGGGCAGACCUAGAAUAGGCUGAAUCAAAUCUAGGAUCUUGCUUUAGAUUGGUAUCGACCGCAAGGCGAUACCAAUGGAAGGUGAUAGAUCAACAAGUGUAGGCUGCUAUCCUUGAUGUCCUAAGCCAGCGACCCGAAUUGAAACAAGCGGUUGAAAAUGAUUGAAUGAAUGAGUGGAAGGAAAGUAGAACGAGACGUUGGUGACCGUUUUUGGAUUCUAGGAUAUUUGGAUAUUGUUUGCCUAGAAUAAUUCGUCUACGAUAGUUCAUUCGUAGCCUCGACCUGGUUACGCGAAACCGUUCUACACUUUUAUUCAUUAACAUAAACCCUUUUUUUUCACCGUCGGUUAUUUAGAGGCUGGGUCGACUCCUCAUCUUUGAAUCAUAGGCUGUUUUUACAGAUGUUUCUAGAAGAGUUGUCCUCAUUCUUGGAAAUCAGAUGACCAGAAUUCUUUAGCCUAUUAAGGUAUAGAUGUUGUCGCUUUGUUUGCUAAUGACACGUACGUCAAUGCUUUCACUUCCCGUAUACCUAGGACCAUUGAAGCCUUGAACAUGGAGUUUGACGUUAUUCAUGAUUAUUUUUUCAAUCGUAAAAUUAAGAUAAAUGCCGGUAAUAUCGACAGGAUAGUUAUCGUGGAAAGGUUAAUCAACAUUAACCGUUAUACGAUAGUCUGGGGAAAGUCAGUUAAAUAUCUUAAGGUCAAUAUUGACCACAAGAUGUCAUUUUCAGGUUACAUAAAGAUCAUUUACACUAAAGCCAGGAAUUCAGUAGGAGCAUUAAUGCAUCUUAUGAAUUCCAACUCUGCCCUUAGCAAAAAGAACAGGCUUCUUCUAUGCAAAGCCAUAUUUCGUCCGAAAAUGAGAUAUCGGUCUAUUAACAAAAGAAAAAUUGGUGCCCCACCUACGUCCGUAGUUUAGAACGUAUUCAAAUCAAGCGCCACUGGAUGGUCCUCAACCUUCCCAGGGUCACGAGAAUAGUAGAUCUAUAUCGGGAUUGUGACAUUCCCAAAUUAAACCAGUUUAACAGAAAACUUAAUGUAAAUUUACUACGAAGCUCACAAAAAUUCACUGAUUAGUCGAAUCAAAAGAGCUUUUUAGAACACCUUAAGAUCGAUAUUCAUUCAAGCAUUAGAUGAGUUAGUUUAGUUAGAUUUAAGUAUAAAAGAUCCAAAGUACCUAGCGUUAUAAACCAUUCGUUAUUGUUAGUUUAGACAAAUGGAGAUAUUUUGAAACUGAAAUUGAAGAUAUAGACAUAGAGGUAUAUUUGAAGUUUCGGAUGACGCAAAUUUCGUAACCUUCGAAUUUUUUUCUAUGUUCCUGAAUGUCACCCAUAACCUUUCAUAGGAAAUGUAAUAUAUAGGACGAGAUACUGAAAUAUAUUGUGAUUUUAUGUCAGUUGCUACGUGAAGACGAAUUUUCAUCUUAAGGCUAUAAUUCUUGAGAGCAACACAUAUGCAAUUGCAACUAAUGUGAAUGAAGUCCUUCACUUGAGAUAUUGAGAUAGAUAGAAUUGUCUCUUAUUUUGGGAUUGUAUGUAGAGAUCCAUCCCGGAUGCUAUACUGGUUUUUAAGGUGACCCUAUAUGGCCUAUAUGGCUCCCAGGAGAAGAAAUAGGAAAGCACUCUGGGACAAAGCGAAGUUCCCAAGCCAAGAGUAUGAUGAGGAGAGGCAGGCGAGUGUUUCCGGGGAGUGCGAUCCCAGGAGACACAGAAGGUUUGGAGUUCAGGACUGACACUGCGGAGUACCCCAAGGAAUUCCUCUUGUUUUCACCAAGCUUUUAAAGUGAUCCAUCUAGUCCAUGGGUGUUUUGAGGAAUUCUUUUAGUGGUAGGCUUAGGAGUUCAUGGGGUCUUCUGUACAGUCGCAGGUCAAUUGGGUCAGGUGGGAUAAAGUGGUACGCAACUUCCUUGUUCUGAGACUUCAAUAUCUUCUCUGAUUUGCUUAGCAUUGGCUUCUCGUUAGCGAUCGUACACCUCAUAGUUACAUAAGGCUCUUGAUAAGUCCUUCCUUUUGUUGUGGAAUUUUGAGGUUUUUUCUCUGACCAUCUGAAUUAGUGAAAAAAAAACUCAAAAUUCUAAAUUAGACAAGAUUCCGAAUUACCCCAUCUUACCCUAGUGAGAACGUCCAAACCUGUAAAAGUUUAAAGGCAAACUAAAGUCCUUCUCAGUGCAACCCUUGUUAUGAAAGGAUGGUGUUUACUUUUAGAACUGCUCAGUUUGUUAAGAACAAGGAUACCAGUCUGAAGAACUCAAGGACUCAAUUAACAACGAAUUCACUAUCAUACAUAAAUCAUAAAUAUUCCACCUAUGGAUUACCUCGUAAUCAUUUCACAUAAACUUUUCAAAAAUCAUGUCAAGCUCAAGUUCCAAGAAGUUGAUUGCACAAAAUGUUACUUUAACUGGCAAAUUGUUGAUUCAACUGGCAAUACAUUGUCUUUCGUAAGAUUUAGCCUGUGCUGCAGAGAGAGAAUGUUUGAGAUAAUCUCAAAGUCGAAAAAUGUAAACAAUCGUCUACAAUUGAAAAAACCUUAUGUGCCUGGGGUAUGGAUUUUGCAAUUGGACAAUUGGUAUAUAGAAAUGGAUUCUGCGUGUGCGAAAAAGAAUACUGGGUGCAAGAAAAGAGGACGUGGGAAAUGUUACGAGAUGGGUGCUAAAUAAAAAUUGAGGAGUGACCGUCAAAAAAAUCACGCCAAUGAAAAUUUUGAAUUUAUUAAAGGUAUUCUUUCCUAGACACCAAUUCUGUUUUGUGGCAGAAGAAAUGCAAGAAAAUUUAAUUAAUAGAUUUUUUGAAAUUGUAUACUUGCACAUUUUGACCUUGCGUAAUUUGCAACAUAACCCAAGACACACGAUUAUAUGAGAGAAAGGAAGUAAAUUGAAAGUCAAGCUUUGUUGGACUUGCAGAGAUACAUGCUGGUAACAUAUAAAAUACCAACAUUACUUCUUCCCCAGCAGCCACCAAUUCACCUACUUGCUGGCGACACGCGGCUUUCUUGAAUGACUUGAAGAAAAAAAACUGUAAAUGGUAAAUGGUACCACGUCCUUGAUUGAGAAAUUGCUCCAUGAGAUUGCUAGACAUUUUAUAUAUAUAUAAAAUCACGAAUUGCCAAUAUAGAGGUAUUAUUGAGUGAAUUGGAAUUGUCUGCAAAGUUGUUGGGAUGUGGCUUUUUUGGUGGGAGAAACAGGUUGAAAUUUUUCUGUUUUGAGAUUCUAUUUCUCUUUUAAAGCUCGACUAUAUCAUUUCUUAAGGUGUUUGAUUUCAUAUAACCGUUAUAUCACACAAUUUUUCGUGUUCAUGCCUCUCGGACUGUCUCGGAUUUGUGAGAAGAAGAUGUAUCUAUGAGAUCAUUGAUUUUCAGUUUUGUUUUUCUCCCAAAAGUUGACAGGUGAAUUAGCAUUUGCAUCAAAUCCGUUUUCUCUCAAAAAAUUUCAUUCAAAAUUCCUUCUGCAAGAUAUACAGAAAAAUGUUCAAGGUAUACAUUACCAAAAGUGAAAAGCCACCCAGGUAUAUAGCCAAACUGGAUUAACCUUGAUUUCUUGCAAGUACAAAAAUUCCUGAGACAAGAGAAACAUUAUUUGUAUCCAAUAGAAAACGUGUCGAAUUUGCUGUUGAAGGAAUUUUCGUCUCUCGAUAUUUGAUUCUAAAUCCGUUGAAUGAUUUGAAACACACGAUGAAAUACUUUUGGCAUGAUAGAUUUACGACUUUGCCGGUCAAUAAUUUAUUGACCACGACAGCUAAACGGAAUGUUGUCAUAAAAUUCAACAAAAAAAAAGAAAA